rnacentral:rRNA from 1 species
CCCAGGCUAAUACCGCAUACGUCCUACGGGAGAAAGGGGGCUUCGGCUCCCGCUAUCGGAUGAGCCUAUGUCGGAUUAGCUAGUUGGUGAGGUAACGGCUCACCAAGGCCACGAUCCGUAGCUGGUCUGAGAGGAUGAUCAGCCACAUCGGGACUGAGACACGGCCCGAACUCCUACGGGAGGCAGCAGUGGGGAAUAUUGGACAAUGGGGGGAACCCUGAUCCAGCCAUGCCGCGUGUGUGAAGAAGGCCCUCGGGUUGUAAAGCACUUUCAGCGAGGAAGAACGCCUAGCGGUUAAUACCCGCUAGGAAAGACAUCAAUCGCAGAAGAAGCACCGGCUAACUCCGUGCCAGCAGCCGCGGUAAUACGGAGGGUGCAAGCGUUAAUCGGAAUUACUGGGCGUAAAGCGCGCGUAGGUGGCUUGAUAAGCCGGUUGUGAAAGCCCCGGGCUCAACCUGGGAACGGCAUCCGGAACUGUCAAGCUAGAGUGCAGGAGAGGAAGGUAGAAUUCCCGGUGUAGCGGUGAAAUGCGUAGAGAUCGGGAGGAAUACCAGUGGCGAAGGCGGCCUUCUGGACUGACACUGACACUGAGGUGCGAAAGCGUGGGUAGCAAACAGGAUUAGAUACCCUGGUAGUCCACGCCGUAAACGAUGUCGACCAGCCGUUGGGUGCCUAGCGCACUUUGUGGCGAAGUUAACGCGAUAAGUCGACCGCCUGGGGAGUACGGCCGCAAGGUUAAAACUCAAAUGAAUUGACGGGGGCCCGCACAAGCGGUGGAGCAUGUGGUUUAAUUCGAUGCAACGCGAAGAACCUUACCUACUCUUGACAUCCUGCGAAUUUGGUAGAGAUACCUUAGUGCCUUCGGGAACGCAGAGACAGGUGCUGCAUGGCUGUCGUCAGCUCGUGUUGUGAAAUGUUGGGUUAAGUCCCGUAACGAGCGCAACCCUUGUCCUUAUUUGCCAGCGCGUAAUGGCGGGAACUCUAAGGAGACUGCCGGUGACAAACCGGAGGAAGGUGGGGACGACGUCAAGUCAUCAUGGCCCUUACGAGUAGGGCUACACACGUGCUACAAUGGUCGGUACAAAGGGUUGCCAACUCGCGAGAGUGAGCCAAUCCCGAAAAGCCGAUCUCAGUCCGGAUCGGAGUCUGCAACUCGACUCCGUGAAGUCGGAAUCGCUAGUAAUCGUAGAUCAGAAUGCUACGGUGAAUACGUUCCCGGGCCUUGUACACACCGC